UUUUGUGCCUGCCUAGCUAUCCAGACAGAGCAGCUACCCUCAGCUCUAGCUCAUACUACAGACAGUACAACAGAUUCACUGGACGAAAGAAAGAUAAAAGGGGUCAUUGAGCUCAGGAAGAGCUUACUGUCUGCCUUGAGAACUUAUGAACCAUAUGGAUCCCUGGUUCAACAAAUACGAAUUCUGCUGCUGGGUCCAAUUGGAGCUGGGAAGUCUAGCUUUUUCAACUCAGUGAGGUCUGUUUUCCAAGGGCAUGUAACGCAUCAGGCUUUGGUGGGCACUAAUACAACUGGGAUAUCUGAGAAGUAUAGGACAUACUCUAUUAGAGACGGGAAAGAUGGCAAAUACCUGCCAUUUAUUCUGUGUGACUCACUGGGGCUGAGUGAGAAAGAAGGCGGCCUGUGCAUGGAUGACAUAUCCUACAUCUUGAACGGUAACAUUCGUGAUAGAUACCAGUUUAAUCCCAUGGAAUCAAUCAAAUUAAAUCAUCAUGACUACAUUGAUUCCCCAUCGCUGAAGGACAGAAUUCAUUGUGUGGCAUUUGUAUUUGAUGCCAGCUCUAUUGAAUACUUCUCCUCUCAGAUGAUAGUAAAGAUCAAAAGAAUUCGAAGGGAGUUGGUAAACGCUGCUAGAGGAAGUCCAAAGAAAACUUGGAUUUGCUCUUUCUGACAUCUCGGUGGUUAGCAAUUAUUCCUCUGAGUGGGAGCUGGACCCUGUAAAGGAUGUUCUAAUUCUUUCUGCUCUGAGACGAAUGCUAUGGGCUGCAGAUGACUUCUUAGAGGAUUUGCCUUUUGAGCAAAUAGGGAAUCUAAGGGAGGAAAUUAUCAACUGUGCACAAGGAAAAAAAUAGAUAUGUGAAAGGUUCACGUAAAUUUCCUCACAUCACAGAAGAUUAAAAUUCAGAAAGGAGAAAACACAGACCAAAGAGAAGUAACUAAGACCAAAGGGAUGUGUUUUAUUAAUGUCUAGGAUGAAGAAAUGCAUAGAACAUUGUAGUACUUGUAAAUAACUAGAAAUAACAUGAUUUAGUCAUAAUUGUGAAAAAUAAUAAUAAUUUUUCUUGGAUUUAUGUUCUGUAUCUGUGAAAAAAUAAAUUUCUUAUAAAACUCGGGUCUAA
rnacentral:sRNA from 1 species